rnacentral:rRNA from 1 species
UUUUGGGAACUCACUGGUUUUGGAGUCAUGGGAACUCCGAAGUUAAGCGAGUUAGGGCUACAAUAAUCCCAGGAUGGGUGACCCACUGGGAAGUUGCUCAUGAGUUCCCAAAAA